AGUUUGAUCCUGGCUCAGGAUGAACGCUAGCUACAGGCUUAACACAUGCAAGUCGAGGGGCAGCAUGAUCAAAGCUUGCUUUGGUUGAUGGCGACCGGCGCACGGGUGAGUAACGCGUAUCCAACUUCCCUUAGUAGGGCAUAGCCCGUAGAAAUGCGGAUUAAUACCCUAUGUUGUUCGUAGAGGACAUCUGAAAUGAACCAAAGGUUUACCGCUAAGGGAUGGGGAUGCGUCUGAUUAGGUAGUCGGCGGGGUAACGGCCCACCGAGCCCUCGAUCAGUAGGGGUUCUGAGAGGAAGGUCCCCCACAUUGGAACUGAGACACGGUCCAAACUCCUACGGGAGGCAGCAGUGAGGAAUAUUGGUCAAUGGGCGCGAGCCUGAACCAGCCAAGUAGCGUGCAGGAUGACGGCCCUAUGGGUUGUAAACUGCUUUUAUACAGGGAUAAAGUCCACUACGCGUAGUGGUUUGCAGGUACCGCAUGAAUAAGGACCGGCUAAUUCCGUGCC
rnacentral:rRNA from 1 species